rnacentral:misc_RNA from 1 species
GAUUGCAGAACUGGCUCAUGUCGGACACGGCCGCGGUGGCUGCCGAAAUAGCUUCCGACGCGCCGAUCUGCGGACCCUUGUCCGAAUCGGGCGUCUUGUCGGUCGGGAGCAGCACAAGCACCAGCCCCAGCCAGAACGCCAUGCGAAGGAGGAAAAACAUCUCACACCCCGUUAGUCGCUUUCACCGGAAUGACUUCACGCGAUGAAGCACUCCGCCCCGUUGCGAUUGAUCUCGCAAUCAUCCCGUGUCGUAUCAGACGCGGAUAAAUCUCCGGUUCUUGCGCUGUCUAAAAUUUGAAUGGUUUGAUUUGGCGUAAAUUUUCGAUUGAUAAGAGCAAUAUUUCGCUUCGAAUGACGCGGCCGUGGCCGCGGCCCAUGCACGAUUUCGAAACCAUAACGCGCCGCAUGGAAACUUCGCGUUCACCAUUCGGCUGGAUGAAAUCGCCGAUUGUCCGCGAAAACAGCGCAUUCGAACGGCGUAACUUGCUAUCGGCAGCGCGCCUUAGCGUUCGCUUAAGUUCACUCUGACACCAUCGGCCAAACGAAAAACGGGGGCGUUCCGGCAGUCGACACGACGACCGGCCGAACAGUGAGAACAACGUGAGAUUGUCCGCCAUCAUACGUGAUCAUCUGGACUCGCUGCUGCAUCCAUCGGCGCGGCGG